rnacentral:rRNA from 1 species
UCCUACGGGGGGCAGCAGUAGGGAAUAUAGCUCAAUGGGGGAAACCCUGAAGCAGCAACGCCGCGUGGAGGAUGAAGGUUUUCGGAUUGUAAACUCCUUUUGUUAGAGAAGAUAAUGACGGUAUCUAACGAAUAAGCACCGGCUAACUCCGUGCCAGCAGCCGCGGUAAUACGGAGGGUGCAAGCGUUACUCGGAAUCACUGGGCGUAAAGAGCGCGUAGGCGGGAUAGCAAGUCAGAUGUUAAAUCCUAUGGCUUAACCAUAGAACUGCAUUUGAAACUGUUAUUCUAGAGUAUGGGAGAGGUA